rnacentral:rRNA from 1 species
CGCAGCCUGAUCCAGCCAUGCCGCGUGAUUGAUGAAGGCCUUAGGGUUGUAAAGAUCUUUCAGAUGGGAAGAUAAUGACGGUACCAUCAGAAGAAGCUCCGGCUAACUCCGUGCCAGCAGCCGCGGUAAUACGGAGGGAGCUAGCGUUGUUCGGAAUUACUGGGCGUAAAGCGUACGUAGGCGGACUAUUAAGUCAGAGGUGAAAUCCCAGGGCUCAACCCUGGAACUGCCUUUGAUACUGGUAGUCUAGAGGUCGAGAGAGGUGAGUGGAAUUCCGAGUGUAGAGGUGAAAUUCGUAGAUAUUCGGAGGAACACCAGUGGCGAAGGCGGCUCACUGGCUCGAUACUGACGCUGAGGUACGAAAGUGUGGGUAGCAAACAGGAUUAGAUACCCUGGUAGUCCACACCGUAAACGAUGAAUGCUAGUCGUCAGGGGACUUGUCCUUUGGUGACGCAGCUAACGCAUUAAGCAUUCCGCCUGGGGAGUACGGUCGCAAGAUUAAAACUCAAAGAAAAUUGGACGGA